rnacentral:rRNA from 1 species
CCUACGGGGGGCAGCAGUGGGGAAUAUUGGACAAUGGGGGGAACCCUGAUCCAGCCAUGCCGCGUGUGUGAAGAAGGCCCUCGGGUUGUAAAGCACUUUCAGUGAGGAAGAACGCCUGGUGGUUAAUACCCAUCAGGAAAGACAUCACUCACAGAAGAAGCACCGGCUAACUCCGUGCCAGCAGCCGCGGUAAUACGGAGGGUGCGAGCGUUAAUCGGAAUUACUGGGCGUAAAGCGCGCGUAGGUGGCUUGAUAAGCCGGUUGUGAAAGCCCCGGGCUCAACCUGGGAACGGCAUCCGGAACUGUCAAGCUAGAGUGCAGGAGAGGAAGGUAGAAGUCCCGGUGUAGCGGUGAAACGCGUAGAGAUCGGGAGGAGUACCAGUGGCGAAGGCGGCCUUCUGGACUGACACUGACACUGAGGUGCGAAAGCGUGGGUAGCAAACAGGAUUAGAUACCCCUGUAGUC